rnacentral:rRNA from 1 species
GACGAACGCUGGCGGCGUGCUUAACACAUGCAAGUCGAACGCUGAAGCUCAGCUUUUGUUGGGUGGAUGAGUGGCGAACGGGUGGGUAACACGUGAGUAACCUGCCCCCUUCUUUGGGAUAACGCCCGGAAACGGGUGCUAAUACUGGAUAUUCACUGGUCUUCGCAUGGGGGUUGGUGGAAAGGGUUUUUCUGGUGGGGGAUGGGCUCGCGGCCUAUCAGCUUGUUGGUGGGGUGAUGGCCUACCAAGGCUUUGACGGGUAGCCGGCCUGAGAGGGUGACCGGUCACAUUGGGACUGAGAUACGGCCCAGACUCCUACGGGAGGCAGCAGUGGGGGAUAUUGCACAAUGGGCGCAAGCCUGAUGCAGCGACGCCGCGUGAGGGAUGGAGGCCUUCGGGUUGUGAACCUCUUUCGCUCAUGGUCAAGCCGCAACAAUGGUUGUGGUGAGGGUAGUGGGUAAAGAAGCGCCGGCUAACUACGUG